GGAGUCUGGGCCGUGUCUCAGUCCCAAUGUGGCCGAUCAACCUCUCAGUCCGGCUACCGAUCGUCGGCUUGGUAGGCCGUUAUCCCACCAACUACCUAAUCGGACGCGAGGCCAUCUCUCAGCGGAUUGCUCCUUUGACCUCAUCCGGAUGCCCGGUCGUGGUCUUAUGCGGUAUUAGCACCUAUUUCUAAGUGUUAUCCCCCUCUGGGAGGUAGGUUCCUCACGUGUUACUCACCCGUUCGCCACUAACUUUACUUCUUCGUCCGCCGAAGCCUCAGUUUCCAUAAAGUCCGUUCGACUUGCAUGUGUUAGGCGCGCCGCCAGCGUUCGUCCUCGAGCCAUGAUCAAACUCU
rnacentral:rRNA from 1 species